UCUUGUGAGUAAUGAAUGAGUUGCGGUUAUGGAUGGAGAUUAAAAUUUGUCCGCUCACUCGAAUCAGUCGUUAAAAACCCAUGGUCCGGAAUACUCAAAGUAAAUUCGUCUUCGUUUUUAAUUCUUUGCCAUCCUUGUAUCCUUUUUUAUAAGGGUGCUGAAGGCUUAACUACUCAUCUUAUUAAAUUAAAUCAAUGUUGGCAAAAAAUAUUCUUUACGAGUUACUCAUCUUAUAAAAUAAAAAAUCAUAAAAUUAAUUAGUAAUGCUAGAAAAUUGUUUGUCUUGCUUUAACAAUUUGUAACAAUCAUUUAAAAUCUUUUAUUUUUAGAUUCUUUACGGAAAAAUGCGAAUACUUCUGGGAUGCUUGACUACAGUUAUUUUGGCAAUGGUGCGAAAAACAAAUUCAGAGAUUCCUGGCUGCGAUUACUAUGACACUGUGGAUAUCUCGGAAGGCCAAAGGUUCCCAAAUGGUUCUUUUCUAUUUGAAAACCUUGUCAUACCCUCCCAUUUGACGGGUGUAUAUGACUUCAAACUUUUAGCGAAUAACUCUAAGGAGAAUGUAGCGAGCCACAUGAGAGGAUGUGUCUGUAAACUGAGGACCUGCGUAAGAUUUUGCUGCGGUCACUACGACAUAUUGGAAGAAAAUCAGUGCCAGAAUGACACGACACAGGACGAGCUGAACCAACUCGAUCCAUACCUGAACAUGACCCUUAAUGACGGUUCGGUGGUCAAACGGCACUUUAAAGACAAAAUGAUCGUACAGUGGGAUUUCCCAAUGCCGUGUAACAGCAUGUUCUACCUAGACAUCCGGGAAAAAACCGAUGAGUACUCUCUUUUCGAGAAUGGAACCUUUCUACGGCACUAUGAUAACGCAACCCUGAACAAGCGGCAAUACUGUCUUCAGCAUUAUCUUUUCGAAGACAAAACCGAUAAUUCAACUUUCUUCCGAAUCGCACCACACAACUGCAUGACAGAGGAAUUGAAACAGACACGCCAAAAGACACAGAAAACGUGGCAGACUGUCGCCAUGGUUAUAUCGCUGAUAUGUAUGAUUCUUACGAUCGGCGUAUAUCUUUUCGUCGAAGAGCUAAGAAACUUGCUGGGCAAGUGCUUCAUCUGCUACAUGGUCAGCCUGUUCAUAGCCUACCUUUUCCUGCUGCUCAACUUGUGGAGCUUAACGAAAGAUUUCUGCAUUACAGCAGGCUUUAUAGGAUACUUUUUCGUCAUGGCUGCGUUCUUGUGGCUUUCCGUCAUCAGCCUGCAGAUCUGGAUAACGCUCAACGGCCUUGGGUUGAAAUAUGACUUCCUGUCAGACAAUCCAUUUCCGUCCUACAACAUGUUCGCCUGGGGCAUGUCGAUUGUCUUGACCGGAGUCACCUAUCUAGUUGAUAAGUUCGCAGAUCACGAAAAUUGGACGCCUCAAAUGGGCGCCAAAGAGGAAUGUUGGAUCUAUACCAAAGAUUGGUCUGCCAUGAUCUACUUCUACGGCCCGAUACUAUUGCUAAUUAUCUUCAACAUAACCAUGUUUAUCCUGACGGCUCGAAGUAUAAUAAUAGUGAAAAGGACCAUUAAUAAUUUUACUAACAAGCAAGAGAGGACGAAAAAGCUGAAAUCGGAUACAGAGUCAUACAGCUACUUUCUGCGGCUCUUUAUCAUCAUGGGACUCCCUUGGAGCCUUGAGAUAAUCUCCUACUUGGUGCAAAGCGAGGAUCGAUGGGCCGAGGUUUUUAAAGUGGCUGACUACUUUAAUUGGUCCCAGGGCACCAUUGUAUUCAUUGUCUUUAUAUUAAAGCGCAAAACGCUGAAACUUAUAAUGAAGAGAACACUUAAAAAAUCACGGCUGAGAUCCAACAAUAUGAAAUCAACCCGAGGGUCAGCUGGUGGAUACGUCAGUAAGGCUCCAAACACAACCCUGUACUCAACCAGUGUGUAGAUAUCUCGCAAAAAUGUGAUUUUCAUUAAUACUUAAAUUAAAUAAAUUUAUUGAAUAUUUAUUUAUAUUUAUUAUUAGAUUACACAAAUUUCAUAUAAAAACAUUUUUCUGUAAAAAUAAAGUAUUGAGAGCAAUGCAAGUUAUAGUUAUAACUUAAUAAUUAUAUUUGGUUUACAUUUAAAUUAAGAGGCUGGUCUUGAGUAUAAAAUACAAUUGUUUAAGUUUUUAUUUUGUUUUAAGUUCAUAAUGUUUAGAACUAAUGUAUGCAUUUAACAUUAAUGCAUGGCUCUCUUACGCUGCAAUUUUAAAAAUUCAAAGAUUGAUUCCUCCAGUCAAUCGAGUAAAGCUUAAAUCAAAAGCUUAUUUUAUGUUUUCAUAAUUUUAUGGCCCUGUUUUAUGGUGUCAGCUUUUCCAAGCCAGCCAUGCUAAUAUUAUGGCUUUUAGCUACCCUUCAAGUAUUUCAAAAAUUGUUAUUUUUAUUCGCCAGGGGAGGACUUUGAAACCAUAUUUACACGGCUCAAACUGUAUGCUUUAUCCCAAAAUUUUAGAGUUCGCAUUAAAAUUUGCAUUACUGAGUGGCAAGUGUCAUGACACAUUCCCCUAGCUAAAGUUGUCAACUUUUCGCCGAGUUUCACAUUUCGCAAACUGUGUCGCAUUACACGUUUUCAGAUUCAAAAUUGUUUGGCUCGGCUGCUGCUGUUGUCUCACUAAUUGUCACUAAAUAUGGCUUCAGUUAAUUCCAGUUUCAGUUACUUAGCAGCUUAGCUACACAAGUGACUGGAAAUCGAGAGAGUGCCGAGGGAUACACACCCGUCCAUCAUUUGAUAAACUGUCUGUCAGUCAUCCAGUCAGUUAGUUAGCAGGGAGUAAAACGAUUGAAGGCAUGCGAACAAUUCUCGAACUUCAACUCCGACCAGGAAUUCCAUGCCCUGAGCCACAAAGGAAAUGGCUGCAAAUGAGCCAGGCAUUUGAAUUUGGCCAGGCCAUGUUCAAAGCUCAAAGGCGGCCAAGUGCCUGACUUCGGAUCUGGAUCGCAAAAGAAAAACCAAAACUCAAAGCUCUUCCUGGACGAAAUCCAAUUGACAGACAAACAUGCAAGCGACCAUCGAUAAAUGAAAAUCCACAAAAAAACGAUUGGACUUGGCCCAAGACUCUGGCUCAACUUCUCUUCACUUUUCGAUGACACACUUAAAAAAGAAAUUCUAAUGAAUUGUGCAAUUUCAAUUUUUAAGUAUCUACAACCACGUUUUCUUUCAGAGUCUGCUUUGCUGUGCAUAAAUAGAAGGAAAAUUAUCUUUUUCUAUAUAUUACAAAUAUUAAGGUACAAAAUGUUCAAAGAAUUUAACGUGUGCCUUAAAUAUUGUAGCCUGUAAAUGAAAAUAAAUUCAUAAAAUUAAUAUAACAAAGCAUGCUUAGGACUGGCAGGGAUAUCCUGCUUAGGACUGUUUUUUAAAAGCUUAUUAUCAUAAAGAAACCUUGAAAAGGAAUAAAUUCAUAAAACUAUCUCUGCGAUACCUCAAAUUUUUUGUGAAGUGUGAAACCCAAAAGCAAUGCGGUAAGGUAAUAAAUGCAACUAGAAUAUGAAAAAUCAAACCUCAAAUCAAGAAAAAUUUCUCACAUCCCUUAAUCCAUUAAAUUUCCUGAUUCUAAGCAAAAAUUUAUUGC